AGGGUGGAUGAAGCGACCUGUUGAACAGAAGCCUUCAGAAAGAAGGAAGAGAUACCCACCAGGGUUCUCCCAGUGGUUUUGGAGAACAUGAUGUGAAAUGCAUGUCCUUUGCUCCUGCCACAUAAUUGUGCACCUCAGUAACUCUCUAGAGUUACUGCAGAAUGCACCGGCAUGACCAGCCUUGUUGUGACCCUCACACUGUCAGCAACUGGCUUCCACCUACAAGGUUGAGGAAGAAGACGAAGAACACAGGCAAUGGGCUAGAGCACUGACAUACCAGCCAUGCUACAGCAGCAGUACAGAGGUGCAGCAGUCACAUCAGGCUAGGGAUAAGGGAGAUAGGUUUCUCUUGACCGUGGACACAAGGUGUUUCUUCUGAGUAUGCAUAAAUUGCUGGAGUUCUUUUGCUUUGGCUUAUGCUCUGAGACAUUCGGGGUGCUUUUUUAAAAAAUUGACAUUCACACUUUUUAGUCAUUUUGCCCAGGAAGGGAACAUUGGAGUAUAAAGGUACAGUGGUACUUUCUAUUUAGUAGACUCUGAUUUUAUGUUUUGCUUUUGAUGGAAUUUGCAGUCCAAGAUGUUCUCUUUAACCAACUGAAACAAUAUAUUUAUGUGUAAACACAAAAAGACAUUUGAUUAUAGCUCAUGCAGUUGUGGUUAGAUUUCAUUAGUAUAACUUCCAGAAAAAGAGCUAAAUCUCUGGAUUUGAAUGUAAACCUGAUACUCGGAUAUACUGUUUCACAAUUAUUGUACAACUUCAGUGGGCAAGAAGAAAGUCUAAUACCUUUUUAAGUGCACCUAUGCCAGUACAGUUCAGCUUAAUUUUCUGUUCAUUCUCCCCCCUGCCCUCCCAACUACAGAUAGAAACUGGAAAAGUGAUAAAAUUGGGCAAUUGCAUUUUGUAGAAAAUAAACUAGCUGAUUCCAUAUUUAUAACCUUUAUUAACCUGACAAGGAGGAGUGGAAUAGCCAGCAAAUUGUGUUCAGGAUUGAAAAUGUCAAAGUUGUGGAGCAUAGUACCAUAAUUACCAAAGUACCUCAGGUAUUAUUAGAAUUUUGAUAGUUUCCUCUUCUGACAAGUUUGGUAAUGAGAACAGAAAAUAUACAAAAUUAAUUUAUUUUCAUGACAAAAAUAGUAACGAGGUGAGAUGAUUAUAUCCAACUCGCAAUCUCAAAGUUGUCAUUUCCCAUUGGACUGGACCAGUAAUCUUAGCAGCUUAAUUAAAUCAGUAAUAAUAAUUUCUCCUCCCUUCCCCCUCUGCUCAGAAGAGGGAAAAUUUAAUGGAAAGGCAAGAACAUUUCCACAAUAAAAGUUGCCUUGAGGUUUGCACUCAAAACAGUGAUUAAGCAUUUUAUUAUGUACUUUUAUCUAUGCUCUUGAACACUGAUACUUCAGAACUUGUGAGUUAGUCCUCAGAAGAGACCUUAAAAAUAGUUAAACAUUUUGCUAAAUAUGCAUUACUUAUGUUGCAAGGGAAAACUUGAAAAAUUUGUAUUUUCUAUAAACUCUAUACCAAGUUUUGUUUGUUUUUGUUGUUGUUGUUUUUCCUUACACUAAUAGUAUAAUGUGUAUAUUAAUGUUUAAGGAAGUGAUCAAAUAAUAGUGUUUGACCUCAACAUUAUUUAUAUUGUUAACUUAUUAGUGCAGCAUUAUUGAAAGGAUUUUAAAGCAACUGACAUUCUGAUUAAAAAUCAUCUUAAACAACAGUACACACAAAUCCAGAAAUUGCUAUUUUAAUUAGUCAAUUAGCAAAUUAGCAGCUCUCAUAUUUGGUUACACUUCUAUCAUAGAAAGUCCAGCACAAAUUAAGUAUUUUUUUUUUUUUUUUUUUUUUUUUCCAUUAGUAGCCAUUAGGCUAGAAAUUAGUGGCAACAAGCAGCCAUUAGGGCACAAAUUAGGCUGUCUCAGUGACUUAGACUGUGUUUCAGGGGUACCUCCUUCAAUAAGAAGGACAAAGGACAUAGAAGAAAUAAAUUGAAAGCUUUCUUAUCAAGUCUCAUAAAGUAGCUACAGCUAAUUUGUCUUUGUUUCUUGAUACUUCUAUUUCUCUGCCUCCUUUUUUCCUCUUUCUCUGGAACAAGGACUUACAGGGGAAGCCUAUUUAUCUCUAUCUGCAAUUUUCUGAAACCAGUAUGAAGCUAUGAUACAAGUUAACUCUGUUAGCAGCCCCAUCUGAUUCUAGAGACUUCUCUUUAGCCAGUCUACACUCUAAUUUUUGAUUCGUACUG